GACGAACGCUGGCGGCGUGCUUAACACAUGCAAGUCGAACGGAAAGGCCCUGCUUUUGUGGGGUGCUCGAGUGGCGAACGGGUGAGUAACACGUGAGUAACCUGCCCUUGACUUUGGGAUAACUUCAGGAAACUGGGGCUAAUACCGGAUAGGAGCUCCUGCUGCAUGGUGGGGGUUGGAAAGUUUCGGCGGUUGGGGAUGGACUCGCGGCUUAUCAGCUUGUUGGUGGGGUAGUGGCUUACCAAGGCUUUGACGGGUAGCCGGCCUGAGAGGGUGACCGGCCAAAUGGGGACGGGGAUACGGCCCAGACCCCUAGGGGGGGCAGGAGGGGGGAAUAUUGCACAAGGGGGGGAAGCCGGAUGCAGCAACGCCGGGGGGGGGAUGACGGCCUUCGGGUUGUAAACCGCUUUCGCCUGUGACGAAGCGUGAGUGACGGUAAUGGGUAAAGAAACACCGGCGAACUACGG
rnacentral:rRNA from 1 species